CUCUUGUGAAAUUGUUAGGCUUAACCUAACAGCGUGCAGGAGACACUACUAAUCUUGAGACCGGGAGGAGUCANAGGUAUUCAUAGGGUAGCGGUAAAAUGCAAUAAUCCUAUGAAGACCACCUGUGGCGAAGGCGUCUGACUAGAACGGGUCUGACUGUGAGGGACGAAAGCUGGGGGAGCGAUCCGGAUUAGAUACCCGAGUAGUCCCAGCUGUAAACUCUGCGAGCUAGGUGUUGCAUAUUCCAAGAGAAUAUGCAGUGUCGAAAUGAAGAUGUUAAGCUCGCCGCCUGGGUAGUACGGUCGCAAGACUGAAACUUAAAGGAAUAGGCGGGGGAGCACUACAAGGGGUGCGGCGUGCGGUUUAAUCCAACUCAACGCGGAGAAUCUCACCAGAGGCGACGGCAGAAUGAAAGUCAGAUUGAAGGUCUUACUUAACAAGCCGAGAGGUGGUGCAUGGCCGCCGUCAGCUCGUGCUGUGACAAGUUAAUUUUAUUAACUUGCAGCAAAAGUGUCCUGUUAAGUCAGGCAACGAGCGAGACCUGUAUCUACAAUUGCCAACGAGGUUUCUGAUCGGGCACAUUGUAGGGACUGCCUUGGAAACAAGGAGGAAGGUGCAGGCAACGGUAGGUCCGCAUGCCCCGAA
rnacentral:rRNA from 1 species